GCGUCUGUGGUGCAGAGGCAGGGCGGCUGACCCCUGAUCAGAAGGUUGCAGGUUCGGUUCCUGCCCUACGCA
rnacentral:tRNA from 1 species